AGUGAACGCUGGCGGUAGGCCUAACACAUGCAAGUCGAACGGCAGCACAGUAAGAGCUUGCUCUUACGGGUGGCGAGUGGCGGACGGGUGAGGAAUACAUCGGAAUCUAAUUUUCGUGGGGGAUAACGUAGGGAAACUUACGCUAAUACCGCAUACGACCUACGGGUGAAAGCAGGGGAUCUUCGGACCUUGCGCGAUUGAAUGAGCCGAUGUCGGAUUAGCUAGUUGGCGGGGUAAAGGCCCACCAAGGCGACGAUCCGUAGCUGGUCUGAGAGGAUGAUCAGCCACACUGGAACUGAGACACGGUCCAGACUCCUACGGGAGGCAGCAGUGGGGAAUAUUGGACAAAGGGCGCAAGCCUGAUCCAGCCAUACCGCGUGGGUGAAGAAGGCCUUCGGGUUGUAAAACCCUUUUGUUGGGAAAGAAAAGCAGCAGGUUAAUACCCCGCUGUUCUGACGGUACCCAAAGAAUAAGCACCGGCUAACUUCGUG
rnacentral:rRNA from 1 species